GGAUAGCUCAGUUGGUUAGAGUGCGGUGCUGAUAACGCCAAGGAUGGAGGUUCAAUCCCCGUAUGGGGCAGCU
rnacentral:tRNA from 1 species